rnacentral:lncRNA from 1 species
AUGAAGACUCCUCAGAUCUCUUGGCAGUAGCGGACUGAGAUAAAAUCGGCUCUGUUUCCAAAAUAUCCUCUGCCCGACUGUCAUUUGACACUAAUUGCAUUGCGGAAACUGUUGAAUGCAAAUUAGAUCAUAAAAUUCAUAACCAAAGAUAGCACUUGUAAAGAUCAUUUCAGAAGAAACCCCAAUUCCUGCAGACAAGAUGAAUAAUUGCAAUAUCAGAGAAAAUAUCCAGAGUUGAUAUAUGAGAAGCUACCUGAAUAACUUUUGCAAGAAAGUCUAUUCUUGUCAUUACUCAACUUCCAAUACAAAGUUAUCUUUUCCAGUGCCCCAGUAGCAGAAACGUUACAAUUACAUAUUCUAUCUUGACAAGUUCAUAUAUCCUAGUUGCUCAUCUAGAGGUUAAGGUCACUAAUCAAAGUCAUAAAUGGAAAUAACUGCUGUUGAUGCAUAUAAUAGUAAUGUAUUAAUGUCUUAGGAAGACAUACUGCAACAAGGAGGAAAGUAAAUGUAUUUUCACCAUUUUUCAGCCUCAUAAAAAGCAGUAUUUACAGCAAUCAUGGUAACAAAGAAAAAACAACAACGGAAUCAUUAAUCAAUGAGAUAUCCAUUAAGAAAACUGCAUCCAUUAGUUUGACACUAACUAAUUAGCUCCUAUAAAUAUUUUCAUUUUCUGCAAUCUACCCAGUCAUAAGAGUUAAGAAAGUCCAAAAAAAUAUUUUAACACCAGGAAACUUAUUUAUUCAUCUUUCACUCUGGCUAAUUUUGUACCACUCAAAUUCUACAGCCACCAAACAACACACAAGGAAACUAGGAGUGACAAAGAAGCAUAAAACCAAUAUUCUACCACAACGUCAUCAAGGUAUUAAGAGCUUUUUGUUCCAGUGAAAAUAGCCCAUAAUCUCAGCUACCAACAUGUUAUGACAUCUUAGAGUAAUGACAUUAGAUUGAGAAUUAUUCAAUUCGGUAUCUGUUUGAUCUGUCUACGCUUCCUCCUCUGCAAUUUCUUAAUAAAAACCAAGAAAAAAAAAAAAAAAAGAUAUCCAUCCUAGCCAGGGUUAAAUCUUGUUAAGGCCAGAAGCGCAACUACGGGUGAGAGGCACAAUACAAAGAUCUGUCUGGAUGUAUUAUGCUGAUCUGAUACAUAUGAUAAAGUGUUUAAAGGCUGCAUACCAUUAUUUACAAAAUUUUUGACUCAAGAAUAUGCUUGUGAUUUGUCUGAUCGUUUCAUCAAAUAGGAGUGUGAGCAAUAAAUUACGUAUACUGGACAAAAGCACGUCAAAUUUGGGGUCCAACAACGUCCAAGUUCCAUGCUUAUCAUCAUUCAAAUAUUUAUAUUCUAAAAGAAAUUACAUUCGUGUACAUAUCUCUGUGAAUGACAAUUUGAUUAGAUACAAAACAAGCACGAGGAUGAUGGCACGCGCCAUGCGGGAAUAAAGCAAGGUAUUAAUCCCAUAAGUGUUGAUGGCAUUGUUGAACAGAUGAUUCUUGGAGACUAGUAGACAUAGGAUGUAUCAUAUUUACUUUACAAUGGAAAAGCAUUUGCCAUUUACGAUGGAGAUUUGGUCAAAGAAUUGAAAAAACAUAAUGACAGGGACAAAAAUACAAGUAGGAGGAGGAGGAGGAAAUUUAGUGAGGUGGGUUAGUAGAACAGUAGUGCUAGUCGUCCCAGUUGGGUAGUGUAGUGCGAAGCAGAAGCAGAAAGGGGGGUGAACUGGGUACUGCUUAAAUGAUCAGACUUAAAGAGAUCAGGGCAAGGAAAGGAUGCAAGAGUGAGCAAAGCAAUAAAGAAAACGGGCAAAGCUAUGAUCUUUUUGACCGACUGAGAGACAACAACGAGAAUUUGCAGGAAUUAAUCAAUCCAUACGAGCAACUUAAUCAAUGUUAAUAGAUUAAGAAACGGACAACAGGAAUCAUUAGAAGGAAAAAAAAUUUUAUAAAAAAAAAAUAGAGACGGUGAAAAGAGGAGGAAUUACCUGAAAUUAAGCAAUGGGAGAAGAGGGAUCCUGGGGAGAUUGGAAAAAGGACAGAUAAAGAAAUUGGAAAGAAAAUGGAAUUAUAAUUGGCAAAGACUUGUUGGUCGGUAGGGAAUUGACUUUCAUUUUUUUUAAGAAAAACCUUAUUGCGAGAGUCGCAGGGUGGACCGACGUCGCAAAUGGAGGAGGAGGCAGUAGAAGUAGUUGAAGGCCAGGCAACACAACACUGUAUUGAAUAAUCAAUUGUUUAAAACCCAGAAACAGGAAGGAGGACUGGAGGAGGAGCAGUGUGGAUGGUGAUGAUGAAUUAUUGAUUCAGGAUUGCUGGGCGGGCGGAAUGGACAGAAGGCAGCGUCACCGGUCAGACCUGGAAUCGGAAGUCCACAUGUGAUCUUCCUCCCUUUUGGUUUUUUUUUUUUUUAUUAAAUUAAAUUAAAUUAACGAGGAGGGAACUCGUACUAGUUGGAAGCAUAAGUAUUGAGAAAUGCAAUUUGG